AUCUCACUGUCACUUCUUGGAAGGGCUCUCUACCUCGUCUGCCUGCUGAGCAACCUCUUGGGGAGACGCGGGCCCUCUUGAGUCACUGAACUUGAGCUAUUUGGUGUUGAUGUUGGAAUUUCUGAUGAAUCUGCAGUCAGCAUUUUGCAUGAACUGUGUGUGGAUUCAUUGCCUACAUUGGAUGAUGAAGACUUGAGUGUUGCUACUAAGGUAAAGUGGUCUCUUGUAAAAUUAAUCUUCUCACUCUGAGUGUAGUUUUGCAUAGUAUUUACUUUUCAAAUUUAGCAGUGGUUUACCUAUCAUUGUUUUAUGGUGUUAAUGGAAAGCUGGUCAGAGAAAAACAUACACAUGGCUAGUUGAUUCAAAAAAUGUGUUUAACUUUGGUAACUAAUAAAGAUUGGUAAGUACUGUGACAGGGUGGGAGCUGAAAAAUAAAUGAACUGGAAAAUAAGUAGUCACAGGAAAAUCACAUUAGGAAAUGCUUUCUCCAAUAGAGGAAAUAUGAAAUUUGGUUAAACUUCAUUUGGAUAAAUACUAAUACUUUGACUUUUAAAUCAUACGAGUGUGACUUUCUUAAUAUUUAUUCCUGUAUAAAUCUUCAGUGGAUCAAAUUGUUUGCAGUAAUCAUGGAAUCCUCCUGGUAAUUUUUAGUGGCAAAAAUGUUCAGCACAUAGCAUAUAGCUUUUGUUCUUGGAAACUUAUCAUUUUGGUGUCAUAUAGUUUUUAGGAGAGAUUGUUUCUCUACUUAUAUUAUUGGUUCUGUAGUGAGACUAAAAAUGUAUUAAAAAUUGUAGAAAAAUAGCUGAGUUUGGUGGUGUACACCUGUAGUCCCUGCUACUUGGGAGUUUGAGACAGUAAAAUUGCUUGAACACAGGAGUUUGAGAACAGCCUGGGCAACAUUGUAUCUGAUUUAAAAAUAUAAAUUGUGGAAAUGUAGAAAUUUAAAUUUAUGUUCUCAAGAUUUGUAUUGCAAAGGGGUUUUUAUGUGAUUUAUGAGUUGUCCAUGAAGAGUUUAUAUAAAACACUUCAUCUAAUUGAAUAACAUGUAUUUUCCUGAAAAUAACCAGUUCUAGAAGCAGAGACUCUUAAUACCAAUAUGGUAAGUCUUUAUCAUGAUAAUUUUGUCAUUGUAGUUUAUUUAAAAUAUUUACUUGGCCAGGCGUGGUGGCUCACACCUGCAAUCCCAGCACUUUUGGAGGCC
rnacentral:lncRNA from 1 species